rnacentral:lncRNA from 1 species
CCGUAAAGCUUCAGUCCAAAUGAAUAUCCUAAUCCUGAAGAUGUAACGAGCAAUUUGGUAAAAUAAAUUUGUCGUAAUCUUUAAUGGUUGCGAAGGAGUAGAGGCCACAAGAAAAACAGUGUUUGGGGAGAUAACUCUUACAACGUAAAGUAUUUUGUUACACAGUUCUAAAUUUUUAAAGCGUAUAAACUAUACGAUACCAUAUUCCAAAUAUCUAAGCGACAUCUUUUGAAACAUCAAUAAUACGCAAGAAAAAAAAUUAGGCGGAAGAAAAAAAAAAAAAAUAAUAAUAAUAAUCAGAACAAAUUCAAUAGGUCUUUCCACGGAAAGGUGGAAAGACCUAAUAAUUGCGAAAUAUGAAC